rnacentral:rRNA from 1 species
UACGUAGGGUGCGAGCGUUAAUCGGAAUUACUGGGCGUAAAGCGUGCGCAGGCGGUUAUGUAAGACAGAUGUGAAAUGCCCGGGCUUAACCUGGGAACUGCAUUUGUGACUGCAUGGCUAGAGUGUGUCAGAGGGGGGUAGAAUUCCACGUGUAGCAGUGAAAUGCGUAGAUAUGUGGAGGAAUACCGAUGGCGAAGGCAGCCCCCUGGGAUAACACUGACGCUCAUGCACGAAAGCGUGGGGGGCAAACAGG